rnacentral:rRNA from 1 species
UCGAGGAUCUUCGGCAAUGGGCGCAAGCCUGACCGAGCGACGCCGCGUGGAGGAUGAAGGCCUUCGGGUUGUAAACUCCUGUCGAGGGGGACCAACGCCCCGCAAGGGGCUUGAGAGAUCCCUGGAGGAAGCACGGGCUAAGUUCGUGUCAGCAGCCGCGGUAAGACGAACCGUGCGAACGUUGUUCGGAAUCACUGGGCAUAAAGGGCGCGUAGGCGGCUUUUCAAGUCAGGGGUGAAAUCCGGCAGCUCAACUGUCGAAGUGCCCUUGAUACUGAUGAGCUCGAGGGAGGUAGGGGUGUGUGGAACUUCCGGUGGAGCGGUGAAAUGCGUUGAUAUCGGAAGGAACGCCGGUGGCGAAAGCGACGCACUGGACCUCUUCUGACGCUGAGGCGCGAAAGCCAGGGGAGCAAACGG